UUAGGACAGCCCAUGAUGCAAGA
rnacentral:piRNA from 1 species